rnacentral:rRNA from 1 species
GACAGAGGGUGCAAACGUUGCUCGGAAUUACUGGGCGUAAAGCGCGUGUAGGCGGGUCGGAAAGUCGGGCGUGAAAUCCCCAGGCUCAACCUGGGAACUGCACUCGAAACUUCCGGCCUUGAGUGGUGGAGAGGGAAGUGGAAUUCCUGGUGUAGAGGUGAAAUUCGUAGAUAUCAGGAGGAACACCAGUGGCGAAGGCGGCUUCCUGGACCGGUACUGACGCUGAGGCGCGAAAGCGUGGGUAGCAAACGGG